CCUACGGGAGGCAGCAGUGAGGAAUAUUGGUCAAUGGACGCAAGUCUGAACCAGCCAUGCCGCGUGCAGGAUGACGGCUCUAUGAGUUGUAAACUGCUUUUGUACGAGAGUAAUAGUUCUUACGUGUAGGGAUUUGAGUGUAUCGUACGAAUAAGCAUCGGCUAACUCCGUGCCAGCAGCCGCGGUAAUACGGAGGAUUCGAGCGUUAUCCGGAUUUAUUGGGUUUAAAGGGUGCGUAGGCUGGCGGAUAAGUUAGCGGUCAAAUUUCGGGGCUUAACCCCGUGCCUGCCUCUGAUACUGGUCGACUAGAGAGCGGAGGAAGCAGGCGGAAUGAGUAGUGUAGCGGUGAAAUGCUUAGAUAUUACUCAGAACACCGAUUGCGCAGGCAGCUUGCUAACGCGCAUCUGACGCUGAUGCACGAAAGUGUGGGUAGCGAACAGGAUUAGAUACCCCUGUAGUC
rnacentral:rRNA from 1 species